CAGCCGCCGCGGGAAUGCGGAGGGUGCAAGCGUUAAUCGGAACUACUGGGCGUAAAGCGCACGCAGGCGGUUUGUUAAGUCAGAUGUGAAAUCCCCGAGCUUAACUUGGGAACUGCAUUUGAAACUGGCAAGCUAGAGUCUUGUAGAGGGGGGUAGAAUUCCAGGUGUAGCGGUGAAAUGCGUAGAGAUCUGGAGGAAUACCGGUGGCGAAGGCGGCCCCCUGGACAAAGACUGACGCUCAGGUGCGAAAGCGUGGGGAGCAAACAGGACUAGAUACCCGCGUAGUCCCUGUCUCUUAUAC
rnacentral:rRNA from 1 species